rnacentral:rRNA from 1 species
CCUACGGGCGGCUGCAGUGAGGAAUAUUGGUCAAUGGGCGCGAGCCUGAACCAGCCAAGUAGCGUGAAGGAUGACUGCCCUACGGGUUGUAAACUUCUUUUAUAAAGGAAUAAAGUGAGGCACGUGUGCCGUUUUGUAUGUACUUUAUGAAUAAGGAUCGGCUAACUCCGUGCCAGCAGCCGCGGUAAUACGGAGGAUCCGAGCGUUAUCCGGAUUUAUUGGGUUUAAAGGGAGCGUAGAUGGGUUGUUAAGUCAGUUGUGAAAGUUUGCGGCUCAACCGUAAAAUUGCAAUUGAUACUGGCAGCCUUGAGUGCAGUUGAGGAAGGCGGAAUUCGUGGUGUAGCGGUGAAAUGCAUAGAUAUCACGAAGAACACCGAUGGCGAAGGCGGCUUACCGGCGCCCGACUGACGCUGAGGCACGAAAGCGUGGGGAUCGAACAGGAUUAGAUACCCGAGUAGUC